rnacentral:rRNA from 1 species
UGAGGAAUAUUGGUCAAUGGACGGAAGUCUGAACCAGCCAUGCCGCGUGCAGGAUGACGGCUCUAUGAGUUGUAAACUGCUUUUGUAUUAGGGUAAACACCCCUACGUGUAGGGGCUUGAAAGUAUAAUACGAAUAAGGAUCGGCUAACUCCGUGCCAGCAGCCGCGGUAAUACGGAGGAUCCAAGCGUUAUCCGGAUUUAUUGGGUUUAAAGGGUGCGUAGGCGGUUUGAUAAGUUAGAGGUGAAAUACCGGUGCUCAACACCGGAACUGCCUCUAAUACUGUUGAACUAGAGAGUAGUUGC